UGACAUAGUAACGCCGACCCUGAGGAGACAAGUAACUCUGCCAGCCAGGCGGAAGGAGGAUGAUCUGGCUUUCCUCUCCCGGCGGUGGGGGGACCAUUCCAGGUUUCUUGUGCAGACGUGAGCAAAGCGACGGUAAUGGGUGGUUGUCAAUUUGCUCUAGCAGCCAGAUCAGACAGUUUUAAGGUCCCCCUGUUCUGCGUCUUCUCACACCCCAAGCCCAGAAGCAAUAGGAACUCCAGAGAAAGGCAUAUCCACGGGGCCCCACACCCCCACUCCCCCCACACCCAGAUCUAUAUAUAACAUCUCCCAAGUUGUCAGCUUAACGAGCCACUUUCUGGCAGACCCGUUGCCAUGGCAAUGACUGCUAAUGAGCCGGGUGCCGUGAUUGGCAGUGCUUGAAGGCUCCCCCACAAAGAACUCUCCAGCAAGUUCUCUCUUCCCAGACACACAGCCAGCCGGGACACCCAGGAGCAGCCAGGCCACGGCCGGGUGUGGCUGGGAGUGGCUGGGAGGCACCGGUCCCCAGGAACCACUUUGUCACUAGUGUGUCCUGAGCCGUCCAGGGCCUGGUGGCAAGGUCAACAGGAUGUCCACCAAUUAGCAGCAAUGACAGGGGCUGCAGCCAAGAAGACCAAGCCCCAGCUGGGCCGGGGAAUGGAGAGUCCUGUCUGCUGCAGACCUUUCUGCUGGACACCUGUUGAGGAUGGAGAGGCUCCUACGCAAAGCUGGGGACAGCUACGGGAGGAAAGGUGCUCUCCCCCCUGCCCUUGGGUCGCGACAAAGCGUGAAGCAGGGCCACCCGCUCCCACAGUUAUGCUGCCAGGGUCUGCACCCGCAACAGGGGGCACCUUUGCAAUCUUACGGGUAAAAGUAGUCCUCUCUCCAGCUCUGGUGACCUUUGUAUGCAGUCUGAGCGCGACUCACAGAAAAGAGCUGGGGAGGAAGAAAGGGGCCCCUACCAGUGGAUCAGUGCAUUCCGGACAGUGAAAUCCUCGAGAGUAGUUUUAUUUAUAAGCUGAUGGGGAGAAGAUGGACCCUGGCAGUGUCUUCCCGUCCUUCUGAAAGGAAGGGAUUUGGAGACCUGUCCAGGGAGAGGAGGAGAAGGAGGAGGAGACCAUACAACAGUGAGAAACAGACUAAGAUUCAGAAAGACACGGCCACGUCCAUCUUGUCCCUAGCUUUAGUCUCAGCACCGUGCCCAGAACAUUGGAUGGAGCGAUGGAAACUUGGAAUCAUAGUUGAAACUGGUUCCAAACAGAUCGGAGGAGGCCACUGCACCAACCAAGUAGACAGACUGGGGGGUCUAAGCAAUGUGUGUGCCCCACCCGUAACAAACCCCAAACCCCAGCUCUUCCCGGAUCCCAGUGAAGCGGCUAUUCAACCCUGAGUCCAGGGAGGUGGGAGGACACAAGAUACUACAGUUUCUUUCGCUGUAGAGAAUAAAUGGAGGAACAGUAUCCAGAAGCCUCAGAACAGGCAUAGUCUUCUAAUCAUGACCUCAUAUGGUAUCCAGACGGAAAAUUCCAGGAAAAUGUUUAGCAACCUCAAUAGAAGGCAGGAAGAUAUAGCAUCCAUAAUACAAGAGCCAAAACAACAACAACAACAACAACAACACAUGGUAGGAAGUGGACAAACUAAUGCAAAGCAAGUCGGGUGGAAAAAGGAAACAAAGGCUAUAAAAAGGAGACAGGAAAUUAACAAAAUGGCAGGGAAAUUUACGAGGUAGCGACAGAGGAACAUCCACAUGGAUUGCAACAGAAUAUGGAAUUAAUCUCGCACAAAAAGGGAAAAAAAAAAGAGUCAGUUAUAUACAAAGCCAAUGUUAAGAAUUUUUCCUGGUAUGCAAAGGAAAUGGGGAAAAAUGAAAACAGAGGGACAGAAGAAUAAGCCAAGAGGCAGACUUGUAGAGAGCUAGGUGCUCCUGGAGAAAAGAAACCAUACACCAUGGUUGAUAGGAGGGAAAGGAAAAAACAAAAAAUCCCUCAGCUAAAAGAAGACAUAGAUGUGCAUCGGGGAAGGACGGUCCUGCGCUGCUGAAGGCGACAUGGAUUUUACAAGCCUGAUGGCGGACGCGUGGAGGACGAUGUAUUUUCACAACAAAGAUCAGGAGAAAGUCUGACAACGCUUAAGUGGGUGAAGGGUGUCCCCAGUAAAGGAGCAUAAACAAAGCUGGUUUCGGGUUCUCUGUAACUGCAUUUCAGAAGGUACUUCCUUUUAGGGGCACCUGGGUGGCUCUCAGGUGGUUGAGUGUCCAACUCUGGCUGAGGUUGUGAUCUCACAGUUCGUGAGUUUGA